UUUGGACGUAAUCCCGUUACAGCAACAAAGGGCCUUGUAUGGAGGACAAGGACCCGUCUCUUCUUCCUACGGAUCAUUCACAGACCAUUCCUCUGCACCUCCCCGAAGAACACGAAAAAGAGAUGGAACCUUUGCUGAUGAAAGGCUGCCGGACUUCCGGUGGCGCGGGACAAGGGAAGUUGAAGCCGGCGGCGGCCUGGAGACUGGGAGAUAUCUCCGAGAUCAUUUCAGUUUGGUGCAUGAAAACAGCAAUCGCCCUCGCGUGCGUCUAUCUUGUUUUCCUUUCUUAUGUCGCGGUGACAUACACACCUAGCUGGGCGGAGAAGCUGCGGUUGUCACCACUGUUCCUUUUUGCGACAAUUGUCCUGUUGUUUGGAGCACUCAUGAUCCGAGACAAGCAAGAUGGAUGUGGGAGGAACACACAGUGUGUUCUCAUGGAAUAUCAACCUCGAUUAUAGCGUGUUCUGCUUGGAACUCUCUCUCUCUUUCUCAUUACAAGUGUACUCUCAUGGUACAAACUCAUGUUGGUAGCAGAAGGAUGUAAUAUGUAAAAGGAUGAGAAGCACCGUCCUUAUAUUUCUUUUGUGUACUCUUGUUGGUAGCAGAAGGAUGUGAUAUGUAAAAGGAUGAGAAGCACCGUCCUUAUAUUUCUUUUGUGUACUCUGGUUGUAAAAUCUUGUGUACUCACAAGAUUGUGUAACGUAUGAAUCACGACAACAAGUACGCAUAAUAAAUGGCAUAAUACUUCAAUGCUCGAAUGCA